rnacentral:rRNA from 1 species
GCCAAACAGCUAGCUUAACCACUUAAUAACUAAACAAUAUAAAUAAAACAAAAUAAGCCCAACAACAAAAACUAAACCAUUCUUUUACCUGAGUAUGGGAGACAGAAAAGGUCCCACAAAGCAAUAGAAAUAGUACCGCAAGGGAAGGCUGAAAGAGAAAUGAAAUAACCCAUAUAAGCACUAAAAAGCAAAGAUUUAACCUUGUACCUUUUGCAUCAUGAUUUAGCCAGUACACCCAAGCAAAGAGACCUUUAGUUUGAAACCCCGAAACCAGGUGAGCUACCCCGAGACAGCCUAUUAAGGGCCAACCCGUCUCUGUGGCAAAAGAGUGGGAAGAGCUCCGGGUAGAAGUGACAGACCUACCGAACCUGGUGAUAGCUGGUUGCCUAAGAAGUGAAUAGAAGUUCAGCCUCGUACUCCCCAAAUCAGAUAAACACAAACAAGAUAUCGAGAAAUACACGAGAGUUAGUUAAAGGGGGUACAGCCCCUUUAACAAAGGAUACAACCUUUCCAGGAGGAUAAAGAUCAUAAUAUAUAAAACAUACUGUUCUAGUGGGCCUAAAAGCAGCCACCUAAACAGAAAGCGUUAAAGCUCAGACAGAUAAAAGUUUAUUAUUCCGAUAAAAAAUCUUACUCCCCUAAAUACUAUUAGGCCAGCCCAUGCCCCCAUGGAAGAGAUUAUGCUAAAAUGAGUAACAAGAAGGCCCGCCCUUCUCCAGGCACAAGUGUAAGCCAAACCGGACCAACCAUCGGCAACUAACGAACUCAACCCAAGAGAGUAAUGUGAAUUACAAAAUAAGCCAAGAAAAAUCCACAACUAAACUAUCGUUACCCCCACACUGGAAUGCCAUUUAAAGGAAAGACUAAAAGAAAGGGAAGGAACUCGGCAAACACAAGCCUCGCCUGUUUACCAAAAACAUCGCCUCCUGCGACACAGCCAAGUAUAGGAGGUCCAGCCUGCCCAGUGACUACAAGUUCAACGGCCGCGGUAUUUUGACCGUGCAAAGGUAGCGCAAUCACUUGUCUUUUAAAUAGAGACCUGUAUGAAUGG